GGUUAAGCGACUAAGCGUACACGGUGGAUGCCCUGGCAGUCAGAGGCGAUGAAGGACGUGCUAAUCUGCGAAAAGCGUCGGUAAGGUGAUAUGAACCGUUAUAGCCGGCGAUGUCCGAAUGGGGAAACCCAGUGCAAUUCGUUGCACUAUCGUUAACUGAAUACAUAGGUUAACGAGGCGAACCGGGGGAACUGAAACAUCUAAGUACCCCGAGGAAAAGAAAUCAACCGAGAUUCCCCCAGUAGCGGCGAGCGAACGGGGAGCAGCCCAGAGUCUGAAUCAGCUUGUGUGUUAGUGGAACGGUCUGGAAAGUCCGACGGUACAGGGUGAUAGUCCCGUACACCAAAAUGCACAGGUUGUGAACUCGAAGAGUAGGGCGGGACACGUGGUAUCCUGUCUGAAUAUGGGGGGACCAUCCUCCAAGGCUAAAUACUCCUGACUGACCGAUAGUGAACCAGUACCGUGAGGGAAAGGCGAAAAGAACCCCGGCGAGGGGAGUGAAAAAGAACCUGAAACCGUGUACGUACAAGCAGUGGGAGCACCUUCGGGUGUGACUGCGUACCUUUUGUAUAAUGGGUCAGCGACUUAUAUUCUGUAGCAAGGUUAACCGUAUAGGGGAGCCGCAGGGAAACCGAGUCUUAACUGGGCGUUAAGUUGCAGGGUAUAGACCCGAAACCCGGUGAUCUAGCCAUGGGCAGGUUGAAGGUUGGGUAACACUAACUGGAGGACCGAACCGACUAAUGUUGAAAAAUUAGCGGAUGACUUGUGGCUGGGGGUGAAAGGCCAAUCAAACCGGGAGAUAGCUGGUUCUCCCCGAAAGCUAUUUAGGUAGCGCCUCGUGAAUUCAUCUUCGGGGGUAGAGCACUGUUUCGGCUAGGGGGUCAUCCCGACUUACCAACCCGAUGCAAACUACGAAUACCGAAGAAUGUUAUCACGGGAGACACACGGCGGGUGCUAACGUCCGUCGUGAAGAGGGAAACAACCCAGACCGCCAGCUAAGGUCCCAAAGUCAUGGUUAAGUGGGAAACGAUGUGGGAAGGCACAGACAGCCAGGAUGUUGGCUUAGAAGCAGCCAUCAUUUAAAGAAAGCGUAAUAGCUCACUGGUCGAGUCGGCCUGCGCGGAAGAUGUAACGGGGCUAAACCAUGCACCGAAGCUGCGGCAGCGACACUAUGUGUUGUUGGGUAGGGGAGCGUUCUGUAAGCCUGCGAAGGUGUGCUGUGAGGCAUGCUGGAGGUAUCAGAAGUGCGAAUGCUGACAUAAGUAACGAUAAAGCGGGUGAAAAGCCCGCUCGCCGGAAGACCAAGGGUUCCUGUCCAACGUUAAUCGGGGCAGGGUGAGUCGACCCCUAAGGCGAGGCCGAAAGGCGUAGUCGAUGGGAAACAGGUUAAUAUUCCUGUACUUGGUGUUACUGCGAAGGGGGGACGGAGAAGGCUAUGUUAGCCGGGCGACGGUUGUCCCGGUUUAAGCAUGUAGGCUGAUUGUCCAGGCAAAUCCGGAUAAUCAAGGCUGAGGUGUGAUGACGAGGCACUACGGUGCUGAAGUAACAAAUGCCCUGCUUCCAGGAAAAGCCUCUAAGCAUCAGGUAACAUCAAAUCGUACCCCAAACCGACACAGGUGGUCAGGUAGAGAAUACCAAGGCGCUUGAGAGAACUCGGGUGAAGGAACUAGGCAAAAUGGUGCCGUAACUUCGGGAGAAGGCACGCUGGUGUGUAGGUGAAGUCCCUGCGGAUGGAGCUGAGACCAGUCGAAGAUACCAGCUGGCUGCAACUGUUUAUUAAAAACACAGCACUGUGCAAACACGAAAGUGGACGUAUACGGUGUGACGCCUGCCCGGUGCCGGAAGGUUAAUUGAUGGGGUUAUCCGUAAGGAGAAGCUCUUGAUCGAAGCCCCGGUAAACGGCGGCCGUAACUAUAACGGUCCUAAGGUAGCGAAAUUCCUUGUCGGGUAAGUUCCGACCUGCACGAAUGGCGUAAUGAUGGCCAGGCUGUCUCCACCCGAGACUCAGUGAAAUUGAACUCGCUGUGAAGAUGCAGUGUACCCGCGGCAAGACGGAAAGACCCCGUGAACCUUUACUAUAGCUUGACACUGAACAUUGAGCCUUGAUGUGUAGGAUAGGUGGGAGGCUUUGAAGCGUGGACGCCAGUCUGCGUGGAGCCAACCUUGAAAUACCACCCUUUAAUGUUUGAUGUUCUAACGUUGGCCCCUUACCGGGGUUGCGGACAGUGUCUGGUGGGUAGUUUGACUGGGGCGGUCUCCUCCCAAAGCGUAACGGAGGAGCACGAAGGUUAGCUAAUCCUGGUCGGACAUCAGGAGGUUAGUGCAAUGGCAUAAGCUAGCUUGACUGCGAGCGUGACGGCGCGAGCAGGUGCGAAAGCAGGUCAUAGUGAUCCGGUGGUUCUGAAUGGAAGGGCCAUCGCUCAACGGAUAAAAGGUACUCCGGGGAUAACAGGCUGAUACCGCCCAAGAGUUCAUAUCGACGGCGGUGUUUGGCACCUCGAUGUCGGCUCAUCACAUCCUGGGGCUGAAGUAGGUCCCAAGGGUAUGGCUGUUCGCCAUUUAAAGUGGUACGCGAGCUGGGUUUAGAACGUCGUGAGACAGUUCGGUCCCUAUCUGCCGUGGGCGCUGGAGAAUUGAGGGGGGCUGCUCCUAGUACGAGAGGACCGGAGUGGACGCAUCACUGGUGUUCGGGUUGUCAUGCCAAUGGCACUGCCCGGUAGCUAAAUGCGGAAGAGAUAAGUGCUGAAAGCAUCUAAGCACGAAACUUGCCCCGAGAUGAGUUCUCCCUGAGACUUUAAGUCUCCUGAAGGAACGUUGAAGACGACGACGUUGAUAGGCCGGGUGUGUAAGCGCAGCGAUGCGUUGAGCUAACCGGUACUAAUGAACCGUGAGGCUUAACCUU
rnacentral:rRNA from 1 species